rnacentral:piRNA from 1 species
CCUGCUCGGGAGCGCCUGCACUGGGC